GACGAACGCUGGCGGCGUGCUUAACACAUGCAAGUCGAACGAGUGGCGAACGGGUGAGUAAUACGUAGGUAACCUGCCCUCCUUUUUGGGAUAAGCCUUGGAAACGGGGUCUAAUACCGAAUAGUGAGGGAAGGGCUCGCGGCCUAUCAGCUUGUUGGUGGGGUGAUGUCUACCAAGGAGGGACGGGUAGCCGGGCUGAGAGGUUGGUCGGCCGCAGUGGGACUGAGACACGUCCCAGACUCCUAGGGGAGGCAGCAGUGGGGAAGAUUGGGCAAUGGGUGCAAGCCGGACCCAGCAUCGCCGCGUUAAGGAAGACGGUCUUCGGAUUGUAAACUUCUUUAGACAGGGAUGCGGUACCUGUAGAAUAAGCCACGGCUAACUACGUGCCAGCAGCCGCGGUAAUUC
rnacentral:rRNA from 1 species